UGGGGAAUAUUGGACAAUGGGCGAAAGCCUGAUCCAGCCAUGCCGCGUGUGUGAAGAAGGUCUUCGGAUUGUAAAGCACUUUAAGUUGGGAGGAAGGGCAGUAAGCGAAUACCUUGCUGUUUUGACGUUACCGACAGAAUAAGCACCGGCUAACUCUGUGCCAGCAGCCGCGGUAAUACAGAGGGUGCAAGCGUUAAUCGGAAUUACUGGGCGUAAAGCGCGCGUAGGUGGUUCGUUAAGUUGAAUGUGAAAGCCCCGGGCUCAACCUGGGAACUGCAUCCAAAACAGGAGGGCUAGAGUAGGGCAGAGGGUGGUGGAAUUUCCUGUGUAGCGGUGAAAUGCGUAGAUAUAGGAAGGAACACCAGUGGCGAAGGCGACCACCUGGGCUCAUACUGACACUGAGGUGCGAAAGCGUGGGGAGCAAACAGG
rnacentral:rRNA from 1 species